GAGGCUGAGGUGGGCGGAUCACAAGGUCAGGAGAUCGAGACCAUCCUGGCAAACAUGGUGAAACCCCGUCUUUACUAAAAAUACAAAAAAUUAGCCGGGCGUGGUGACGGGUGCCUGUAGUCCCAGCUACUAGGGAGGCUGAGGUAGGAGAAUGGCAUGAACCCAGGAGGAAGAGCUUGCAGUGAGCGGAGAUUGUGCCACUGCACUCCAGCCUGGGCGACAGAGCGAGACUCCAUCUCAAAAAAAGAAAAAAAAAAGAAAAUGGUACUCUCAUAAACGGCUGUGGUACGGUAACUUGGUAGACAAACUGGUAGCACCAAGUAACUCUGGAAAUCCUUUCUCGCUCUGUUGCGCAGGCUGGAGUGCAGUGGCUCGAUCAUAACUCACUGCAGCCUUGAACUCCUGGGCUCAAGCAGUCCUCUUGCCUCAGACUCCUGAUUAGCUGGGACUGGAAGCAUGCACCACCAUGCCCAGAGUCAGAGGGACAUCUGACUACAGAUGAGAAGGCAUUUUACAGACAAAGGCUGACUGAAGUCAUCACGUGCUUUGAAAAUGGAAGGGGCCAUGAUAACCUGAAAUAAGCAAGAAAACAGAUUCUCCCUUCACAGCCUCCAGAAGGUACCAGUCCCGCCACCACCUUGAUUUUAGCCAUAUGACUAAUUGCAGACUCCUGAUUUCCAGAACGCUAAGAUAAUAAAUGUGUGGUUUAUG
rnacentral:lncRNA from 10 species